GGGCUGCUGCUGACCACCAUCAUCAUCAUCAUCAUCAUCAUCCUCCUGCUGCUGCGGCCGCAUCCCUCCGGCCCUCCAUCCCUCCCUCCAUCCCUCCAUCCCUCCAUCUCUCCAUCCCUCCAUCCCUCCAUCCCUCCGUCCGUCCCGCCGCCGCCCGCCCCGCGGGGACCGGGACAGCGCUGCCAGUGAAGGGCCAAGAGGAGCAGAGCUUCCCUUAGAGGCACAGAGCAGCGCAGAGAUCGGCUUCUGCCCAUCCCAGGAACCCUCCUGGCCUGCCCAUGGCUAGCAACAACACUGCUAGCAUAGCACAGGCACGCAAGCUGGUGGAGCAGCUGAAGAUGGAGGCCAACAUCGACAGGAUAAAGGUGUCCAAAGCAGCAGCAGACCUGAUGGCGUACUGCGAAGCCCACGCCAAGGAGGACCCUCUAUUGACCCCCGUCCCAGCCUCAGAAAACCCCUUCAGAGAGAAGAAGUUCUUCUGCGUGAUCCUGUAAACCCUGGAGGAGCCUGACGGGCACUCAGGCCACCCUGAACACUGAUGUAGAGUUUUUAGGAAUGGGGACGACCUGCUGGUCCGCAGAAUUUAAACAAAAAUAAGUAAAAAAACACGGCCUGGAAGCUACAGAGAUGUGCAUGUUUAAAGAACCUGGCCACCUUUGGGGGAAUCAGAUGAUCUGCAUUGCGAGGCAAAAGAUCUGAAGUCUGUAGAGUUGCCUAGAAAGAGAAAAACAAACAAACAAACAAACAAAAAAUCAUGUAAAGAAUAAAUCAGUGUCACUUUUCUGCUCACAAAAUUGUUCGAUUGUUCCGUAUUUAAAGCACCAGAGCUGUGCUGAGCAAAGUUAGCUGCUAAGGAUGUGUAUAACCUUCUUGGAAUGAUAUUGUUGGUUUCUUUCCAAGCUAAUAUUUUUGAUUUAAGUUGUCAGAUAUAUAGCGACAGGUUAGGUGGCUGUGCUGUUACUCAAUGUUUGGUCUUGUGCUUUUUUCAUUUCUGGCCGUAGCGUGGCAGGGCGGGUCGAGGGGACACCAGCAGCUCUGUGUCCCCAGCAAACCCCACUUUUUCCCAUUCUCUCUAUGGUUAGCUUUGGUUCUGCAAGUAAAAGUGGUUCCCGUGUCGUGCUUGGUGCUUCCUAGGCCUGUGAUGACAUUCAGUGGUAGUGCAUGAGAGUUUAAUUCCGUUCAUCCGCUCCUGACUUUUCUUUUCUAGCGCUUGGCACCACGUGCUGGUGGAAGAAGCCGUAGGGAGGGAACAGAGGCGAUUCUGAGAGCAAAGAGAGCUCCUGAGAUGCCUUAGACGUGCCUGAGAUACCUCCUGCCACGGGGCAGGUGCCAGCCCGGGUGCAGGGCGAGCCAGAAAUCCGAAAAUCAAAGUCGACCGCUUCUUUCCGGGUCUUUCCUUUCUCCUACACCUCCGUGCCUCUGCUCUCCUCGCUUGGUCCUGCUCUUUCCCAGUUCUGGUAGCACUUCCUUCCCUUGGGGCUGGUCUGGAAUGCUGCUGGGAUGUUGUUCAGGGCUGGGAUGCUGCUCCAUGGUGGGACACAGCUCCAUGGUGGGAUGCUGCUCCUCCAUGGGAUGCUGCUCCUUGGUGGGAUAGAGCUCCAUGGUGGGAUAGAGCCUCAUGGGGGGCUGCUGCUCCUCCAUGGAAUACUGCUCCUCCAUGGAAUACUGCUUCUCCAUGGAAUGCUGCUCCAUGGUGGGAUACAGCUCCAUGGUGGGAUGCUGCUUCAGGGUGGGGUUCUGGUCCAUGGUGGGAUGCUGCUCCUCCAUGGAAUGCUUCUCCAUGGUUGGACACAGCUCCAUGGUGGGACACUGCUCCUCCAUGGAAUCCUGCUCCUCCAUGGAAUGCUGCUCCAUGGUGGGAUGCUGCUCCAAAAUGGAAUGCUACUCCAAAAUGGGAUGCUGUUCCAUGGUGGUAUACAGCUCCAUGGUGGGAUGCUGCUCUUCCAUGGAAUCCUGCUCCUCCAUGGAAUCCUGCUCCUCCAUGGAAUGCUGCUCCAUGGUUGGACACAGCUCCAUGGUGGGACACUGCUCCUCCAUGGAAUCCUGCUCCUCCAUGGAAUGCUGCUCCUCCAUGGAAUGCUGCUUCAUGGUGGGACACAGCUCCAUGUGGAAUGCUGCUCCUCCAUGGAAUGCUGCUCCUCCAUGGAAUGCUGCUCCAUGGUGGGAUACAGCUCCAUGGUGGGAUGCUGCUUCAGGGUGGGUUCUGCUCCAUGGUGGGAUGCUGCUUCUCCAUGGAAUGCUGCUCCAUGGUAGGACACAGCUCCAUGGUGGGACACUCCCCAUGGUGGGACGCUACUCCAAAAUGGGAUGCUGCUCCAUGGUGGGAUGCUGCUCCUCUGUGGGAUUCUGUCCCACCAUGGGAUUCUGCUCUCUGUUGGGAUGUUCCUGCCCCUUCCUGCCCCUCUCCCUCCCGUUCCCGCUGCCCCCUCCCCACGUUGGGAAGGGCCAGGGGAGCAGCCCCGGGAGCCGUGGGGCCGCCCCAUCCCGGAGGUGCCUGAUUCCCUGUUUACACACGGCCUGGGCUCCGUGCCAGGCUGGGCAGUUAUUCCCAGGUCUCCUUCCCAUGCUCCCAGCUCUUGGGGGACACACACCACCUUUCUGGGCUCCUCCUCCAGUCCGUAUUUUUGUGGUUUGUCUCUCCUUUCUGCUGCUAAACACCUCCUGGCUCUCCCCUGCUCAUCUAUCCUCCUGGGAAACUUUGGGAAUCAUCACUUUGGGAUCCAUCCCUUUGGGAAUCAUAACGUGGGGAUUUAUGUACAGAAUGAGCUGGGGGUCACAAAGGGGUUUGGGGGUCGGUGGUGACCCCACUGAACCAGUUCUGAAUCAGGUGUGAGCUUUUGAAAAUCCCCGUGGAUCCGGGAGGGGAAAAGUCUUUCGGUACCUUUUUGGUAACUCUUUCUAGCCCGUAAAAAAAAAAGUGUUUUUUGGUUUUUCUACCUUUUCAUACUCUUUUUCUAGUUCUUCUACGGAGAAGGCCAGUUCUUCUCACACUGGACUCCAAACUUUUGGCACCUGGGAAUGUUUAUAAGCCACGAGUAGCCUAGAUGGUCCCAGCACCCCCCUAAUUCCCCAAUUUUGCUCUUUUUACUACAGCUCCCCUAGCUUUAGGAUGAAGGGUGGAUGAAGUGGUUUGCUCUGCAGCUGGUUUCACUCUUGGUGUUACCAGGCAGAGAUGUAAAAACCCCAUCCUGAGUUUUGUCUUUUCUUCUUAAUCUGAUUUAUUGUCACAGAGAGUGAAGUGCAGCCGGUCUGACCCGGGGCUCCCACCCCACCCCUUCUCAAACACCUUCACAAAAGUGGUUUGUAAUAAUUUUUUUAACGACUUGCCUAUUUUACAACUCGAAUUCUUAAAACCUUAGACAACAAAAUAAACCUGCAUGAAUAUGGGGGAGCGGGGAGGGGGAGAUUUUUGAACUAACCCAGACUAUUCAUUGAAGGUGUUUUAUCUUGCUGGGCUUGAUUUUCUGUUGGUUGUGGUGUUGCCAUUGGUGUGCUGCCAGGUAUUUCACCCCAGUAUUUCUAUUUACACAGAUCUGCCUUUGUUAGCCAAGCAGAGAUCGCCUGCCAAGGUUGUUUCCCCUCCUCACAACAAAAAUCUCACCCAUCCCUCCAUCCCCAUGCUGGAUUUCCAGCCUGGCCUCAAACGUCAUUCAACUACCCCCAGGCUUUUAAACAAAAAAAAUAAAUCUGGAGUACUGGAAAAAAGGACUUUUUUUGUCUGCAAAAGUUGCUGGUGGCAGUCUGUCCAUGGCCUGCCACCCUGCCAGCAGCAGGAUUUUGGGGAGGGGGUGGUUGUAGGCGAAAGCCAGUCGUGGUGUAGCGCAUCCCCAUCCCACAUGGUCUGUGUACUCGUUGGAAAUAA
ensembl:lncRNA